rnacentral:rRNA from 1 species
UACAGAGGCCUCGAGCGUUAGGCGGAAUCACUGGGCUUAAAGCGUGUGUAGGCGGGCCCGUAAGUGUCUUGUGAAAUCCCACGGCUCAACCGUGGAACUGCUGGGCAUACUGCGGGUCUUGGGCCAACUAGGGGCAGCCGGAACAAGCGGUGGAGCGGUGAAAUGCGUAGAUAUCUGGAGGAAUACCGGUGGCGAAGGCGGCAUCCUGGACCGACAUUGACGCUGAACGGCGAAAGCUAGGGGAGCAAAC